UACGUAGGGGGCAAGCGUUGUCCGGAUUUAUUGGGCGUAAAGCGCGUGUAGGCGGCGAGGUAGGUCCGAUGUGAAAACUCGAGGCUCAACCUCGAGAGGUCAUCGGAAACCAUCUGGCUAGAGUCCGGAAGAGGAGAGUGGAAUUCCCGGUGUAGCGGUGAAAUGCGCAGAUAUCGGGAAGAACACCCAUGGCGAAGGCAGCUCUCUGGGACGGUACUGACGCUGAGACGCGAAAGCGUGGGGAGCGAACAGGAUUAGAUACCCGAGUAGU
rnacentral:rRNA from 1 species